AACGUAGGAGACAAACGUUAUCCGGAGUUACUGGGCGUAAAGGGCGUGUAGGUGGUUUUGUAAGUCUGGCGUGAAAUUUUUCGGCUUAACCGGGAAAGGUCGUCGGAUACUGCAAGGCUAGAGGACGGUAGAGGCGUGUGGAAUUCCGGGUGUAGUGGUGAAAUGCGUAGAGAUCCGGAAGAACACCGGUGGCGAAGGCGGCCUGCUGGGCAGUGGCUGACGCUGAGGCGCGACAGCGUGGGGAGCAAACAGG
rnacentral:rRNA from 1 species